CGGCCGGCCGGCCUGCCCCACCCGCCCCCUUUUGUUCUCGUUUAUGAUAAACCUUCUCUUGACUGGCAAUCGUGGUCCACCUGCAAUAGGCCGUAUCUAAACCAAAAGAGAUUUGAUUCCAAAUGAUGGUUUUGAUAGCAACUUGGUGACUUGCCUGGCUCAAUUCAAGCGAACUGCCACUCUACGAGCAUAGCAGGAACGUGGAUGAAGAUACACGGAGUGAAGGAGGGCUCGAAACUCUGGACAAGUUGGACAAGCUUGCCGCCGCCGCCGUCGUCCAAAAACGUUGACGCCAAAUGGGCGCAUCUUCUAUUGACUUCCGCAUUUGACCAACCUGCACAGCAAGUGGGCUUCCAACAUAUGAACACGAUCGAUCGUGAGAAGUCCUACAUGGUUUGGGAGCCACUUAAGGCUGUACAUCAUCUGCACGCUUUUGUCCAACUUGUCCGUUUGAGCAAGUGGACAAACAGUUUGGGUCGAAAGGAGCUGAGAAGUUUGUCCGUUUGCUGCAAAAAGUUCCUCCAUCAACCAUGACAGCUGUGGUCGGAAGAGCAUGGGGAUGGCUGCGUUCCUGGGGUAGGGGUGCAGCGUCAGACAAAACUAGGUCGGAUCAAGAUGAGCUCAACAAGCGCUCUGGUUCUGGCUCCGGCUCGAAAGAGCCCAAUUGUCCAGGAGACGACGAGUACUGGGAAGCUCAGGAGAAACCUAUGGAAAUUGAAGAUGCGCGUGCAGGAAAACAAGAGAUGGAGGCAACAGUUGAACCUGUUCCAAGAUGGUGGAAUACGUUUCUUCCAAAGUCUUUUCUUCCGUGGGGAAGGAAAACACAGCCGAGCGGACCGAAGCAGAAUUUGCGUCACAUCAAGAGCGGCGAGCGGGAUAUCGACGGGGGGGACUUUUCAGACUACGGAACUCCUCCUCCGUCCCCGACUCCCCCCGGUUCUGGGCUAGCGUCGCCCUUUCGUCUCUUUGCGCACAGCUGGAAUGUGGAACUGUUUCCUGAGCAUUAUGAGAUCUGCUUCAACUUCCUGCGCCACCUGUUUGACCUGUUUGCGGUGGGCUUCCUGUGGAUUGUGUCGCCUCCCGUCAAGCUGAUCUUGGAAAUUUUGGGCAUCCAGGGACCACUGAGGCUUUGGCUCCAUGGCAUGGCCAUGUUUUUUGUCUCCACAGUGGGAAUGGCUGGACUCCUGUGGCUCAUCCAGGAGCAUCUCCCAGAGUUUGCUUUGAUCUACGGUAUCGUGCAAGCUUUGGUGAUCUCCGUCAGCUUGAAAAAGAGCGUGCUUCUCGGAUUGGAAGAUGAACAGCCGCGAGUGGAAGAGGAGAGCACGGAAGCUGAGAGGAGCGACGGAGAGCAGAAAGAAUUGCUUUGUGCAAGUGACAAAAAGAAGACGAGCUAAACCUCUUGGUACGUACGGAAAGUCGUCAGUUGGCAGGCUCUUCUACAGUAAUACGGCCGCUGGCUCACACCACAUUGCUUAUCUCCAUGUAAACAUGCCUCAGGCUGCUGCUGUCAAUUUGCGUCGAUGAUAUGAAGGUCUUCCCAAUCCGUGACCGAAUGACAAAAUGGCCACCUCUCCACAAUGGCUAUCUCAGUAUCACGUCGCUUGGUUUACCAUUGAAAAUCGAGUGUGAAAGCAACUCCAACCACUGAGAAAAAAAAGACACACAGAUCCAAAUGCUGUGCCAAUUUACAACGGCGGCUGUUGCACCCAGUGGAACAGAUGACAAUUUUGUCUCGCCAAAUAAUUGGAUGAAAAAAAGCGCCAUUUGAAUAGGUGGUGGGUGAAAUGGAUGGAGCUGAUAGCAGAACAUCAGAAUGAUAUCACAGUCGCAAGAGCGGCCGGCCCGGCCGGCUGGCGCAUUUUCUUCCAGCACCCUCUUGGCGCAUUUAUGACAGAUCAAGUCACUUUGGACACUUCUUGUGAGCUAAAAGUUGGACCAUCUACCACUUAAGUUGAAUGUUCUUGAAAUGUUCUUUCAGCCAAAGAUUUGUGGGACACUUUCCCCAUCUACUUUUCGAAUUUCGCUUUCAUGCGUUGCAAUGAGCCCCUCCCUCCCUCCCUGUGUGUUAGGAGAUCAAAUGCGCAAGAGGCAGCAAAGUAAGAGCCACGAAACUUGGCCCAAGCAACUUAUUGGGAUGUGAAAGAUGCCAAGGUUUCUUACAUGACCUGCAACUAGGAAAUGAAAGGUACAAUUAGCAAACUACACUUGACCAUGUAUUGACUUUUUGUGUUUUUCAAAUGGACCCACCCCAACAUUUGGUGUCGUUCGCCUGGAAGGUCAACGUGCCGCUAACGAAGCGCUUCUCCUUCAAUGUGAAAACGGAAAACAAAUGGCGCUACUGUUUCACUUUUGCUUGUCUUUUUCAUUUGGCCAUGCACUUCUAAAUGUGGCAUUGUUUAGGAGAGAAAAGACAAGCACGUCACAGUUGAAAACUUUAAUUGACAUUCAGUUGGCUUUCAGUACGCCCAAUUGCAUUUACAGAAAUGUGCAUUCGCACACCCAUGUAGCGUACAUAUUGUAUCGCUUUUGCAUGUACACAAAAUGUUGCAAUAAAAUAAGUGUGUGAGCCACAAAACAGAUUCAGUGUGAUAUUCAGUGAAGUGAACUCUCUCAAACGAGAUCACAAAGCUUGGGCCAACAUUCAUGCCGCCGCCGCCACCUCUCGUCUUCCUUCCUUCCUUCCUUCCUUCCUUCCUUCCUUCCUUCCUUCCUUCCUUCCUUCCUUCCUUCCUUCCUUCCUUCCUUCCUUCCUUCCUUCCUUCCUUCCUUCCUUCCUUCCUUCCUUCCUUCCUUCCUUCCUUCCUUCCUUCCUUCCUUCCUUCCUUCCUUCCUUCUCCUGUCUGACAAACAGGAAUGAAAAGCAUCCCAAAUCCCAACAUAGCACAGCAGAAAGAAUGAGCACUAUCACCCUUUAUCUGUGGAAUGAUGAUAUUUUUGGUUUGUAAACAUGCAGCAGAACUUAAUGCAUUUUGAGGUCAUUAUUACCAAACGCGUUGAGUAAACGAGCAGUUAUUCACGCCAAUAUUAUCGAUCGCUUCUCACAUGGCAGUCUGCCAAAGAUCUGCUGCAAAAUGUCAUAUGUUGGACUAUAUGUCCAAAGGAAAAGCACAUGCUAAUGAACAUCCAGAGAUACCAACACCACCAGUUCAUUAAAGCUAACACUCAAAAACGACGCCACGAGUAGAUUUGAAAUAACAUUUCUGUUCAUGUCUCAAUGGAAAAGUCAUUUGGAUGGCAUUGCACAAAACCAUACAGAGGAGUGUUGUCCUUUCAAACGACAUCGUUGGGAAUGAAUGACUCAACCGUUUCUCCACUCCACAUUGUGUCACUGCACGUAGAUCAACAAUCAAUUCAUUCCACACAAAAAUAGACCCACCUGCCAGUAGUGAUGUUGCAUACCGAGAUUUAGUAGUGAGUUUGCUGAGAUAAGCACCGCUGUGCGUGGUGUCAAUUCAUCCAUCCAUCCGUGCGUGCCUCCAUCCAUCCAUCCAUCUUCAUAUUUCUAAUCUGCUUGUAAUCACUAUUUUAGAGUGCGGUCACAUGGCUUUGGAAUAUAGAGCAAGAAAACAAGCCAUUUCUGUUGUAUGAUCAAGCGCAAAAUACACCACAGGAUUGGAUUUUAUUGACCAUCUUCACACAGCAAGUCUUGAAAUGCAAAACGGCACGCUGCCUUCCAUACACAUGUGGAAGUCAUCAAAAUUCCUUGCAGUUUCUCCUUGGUGCUUAUGACAAAUCAAUACAGGUUAAAAGCGUCAAUAAUAAAUGUUUAUGGAGGUUGGUAGCUAGCAAGAAGGCUCUGACCAGAAAAUGGCUAAAUACCAUACGUACUGACUCGAAAUGACUGGUAAGAUGUGAUGUACAUUAAGGAGAGAAUCACACCUUAAGUGAGAUAUCAAAUCAAUAGCUUGAUUGAAAGGAAAUAUGUCCAAAUCAACAGAGUCAUGUGCCCCUAAUACUGUAAAGAUGGAAAAG